rnacentral:ncRNA from 1 species
UUUUUAAUUUAGCUUUAAUAUAUAUACGAUUUUCUUUACGUGCAUACUUUUAAAGUAAUCAAGUUUAAUAAUUAACAAUAUUAAACUUGGCCCUGAUUUCUUAAUAUGGCAAAAACUAAAGGAUACACAUGGUAUUUAUAGAAAUAGGCGAGGUGAAGAAAAUUAUAUCCUAAGUUUAGAACAUAAGUUUAUUAUUUUCCUUAAGGUAUUAUAGAAUAAAAAAUGCCUUGAAAAGUCCCGCUAACACCAGUGUUGAAGGUUAACAAAAAAGUGAAAGCUUGUAUUAAUUCAGUAAAUUAAGUUUGGUUAACUUGGUGCCAGCAUCCGCGGUUACACCAAGAAAUUAAGUCAUAUCUACACGGUAAAAGGCGGUUAAACUAGGCACUUCAAGCUAUAAGAUAAUUUAUAAAAAGGUAAAAUUUGAACAUAAAUUUAUAUAUUAACAAUAACUUAUAUAGUUGAAUCCGCGAGAGCCCUGAGGGAAACUGGGAUUAGAUACCCCAUUAUUCUAGGCCAUAAAUUUGAUCAAAAUCUACCAGAGUACUACGAAUACCAUAAAAUUUAAAACUCAAAGGGCUUGGCGGUGUUUUAGACCGCUCAGGGGAACCUGUCUCGUAAUCGACAAUCCACGAUAAACCUAACCUUUCCUUGCUUCAGUUUGUAUACCGUCGUCGUCAGGUAACUUUUAAAAAGCCAGAAGUUAGCCAGAAAACACUAUAAGUUAAAACGUCAGAUCAAGGUGCAGCUUACGAAAAGGUGUAGAUGGGUUACAUUUAUCUAAUUAUAACUACGGAAAAUUAUUACAAUAAAUAAUUUAAAGGAGGACUUGAAAGUAAAUUAAAUUAUAUAAAUGAUUUGAAUAAGGCUCUGAAACGUGCACACAUCGCCCGUCGCUCUCGUUGAAAAAUGAGAUAAGUCGUAACAUAGCAGGGUUAAUGGAAAUUGACCCUAGAUG